GGAAAAGGGGGGUGCUGCUGGGGGGGGUCCUGGCUCAGGGGAAUGGGGCGCUUACAGGGCUGAAAUUUAUGUAUUGAAAACAAUGGAUUUGGUAGCACAAGGAUUGCCAGGCUGGAGAGGCUCUCUUAGUGCAGAUCAUUGGGAAAAUUGCUCUCUCACACAUCGAUCUUACGUUUAUCACACCAGGUCAUUUCUAUUUUGAAAGAACAUGAUAUGGGGAUAUGGGGUUAAUCGAUGUGCCACCCGAACUAAAAUUCUUAAACCUGUUAGUGUGCCUAACUCACCAACUGUAAGUGUUGUAGUGGUGUCAUUAAUUCUGUGGAGCCAGUCACUGAGAACACUCACGAUUGCCCAGCCGAAAUUUGUAUUUCGUUGAGCUUAAAAGUUUUGGGUCUGAAAUUUCACAAACAUUAUGAACACCCUGUUCUGCCCAAUUGGCUGAAUAGAAGUCUAUCACUAAAGAAUGCAACCUGGUUAAGGGUAGAAUUGUUAAAAAAAAAUAUAUAUAUAAUAAAAAAUAAAUAAAAAAUAAUAUAAAUACUGACGUUUAGGCCCAUGGAUUGUGUCGUCUGUUUGGAGUUGUUUGAAUGCAAUGAGGUUCUAGGAAACAAUUGGAACGGCACUUAUCGAACAAAUAGUUUAAUUGAAUUCUGACUGCACUUCUUGCUGUAUGUAUUACAGCUGCCCCUGAUCUUAGCCUCAGAGGGGGAAGGUAGAGGAAUGAUCUCUGUACUUGCAGGCAACGAUGGAGGGUCACCUGAAGUGUGCUCAAGAUUAUUAUUUUAUUUUUUUUUUCCUUGACCAGGGAUAGGUCUGGCAUACCCUGAUGUGUGUUGGAUACAAUUUGUGCUGAUACUAAACGUAUUUCGGUAGAUGCUCUACCUCUUGCACUAAUGACCUAUCACAUGCAGACUAACAGCAAUAUGUAUCUAACACCGCAUGAAAUGCUUAUGGGUCGACCCAUGUCUGUGUCUGUUCCUUAUGAUGGACGGCCGCUGGAGUAAUUGCAGAUGAAUCGAAAAACAUAUAUAAGACCACUAACUAUUAUGUAUGGAGCUAUCUAUUCACAGGAACACAGCUAAGUACAGUGUUAUCAGUGUUAUGUGUGAGGCGUCACCGCCUCAACGGGGGGAGGUGUUCGGAGGUGUUCACCCGGAGGUGGGAGUCCCGGAGCCGCGAGAGAAGGCUGACUACAGGGCAGCAGCGGACUAGAACAUGCAACCCCUGGAGGAUGCUCAAUCCUCCAAUGACGAGAUGGUGGGGAACACGUGAAGGUCCGGUACGAAGCGUCAACGGGGGGUCUGCUCUGUGGCAGACAGGAUGAGAAGAUGUGAAGAUCCAUACCCUGGGUGUACGUGCUAGCCUAACCUCUCCCCAAAGGGUGGCUCUCUACAGUACGUAAAGUGCUUGAGCUGAAGACAACCAGCAUACAGAGAGAUACAGAUACUGCAUACAACAGACUGUCAAGUAUUGUUAUAAAAUGUUAUAAAAUGUUUGUGAUGUGACGCAAUCAGGCACAGAAAAGUAUAAUGGUGCUGCCGAGCACAUAGUGCUGGCCGGGUGGGAAUUUUUCCUCAUAAGAGGUUUUUUCGCCCACCCCUGACUGCGAAAGACUGGGGUUUGGUUUUUGAGGGGAAGGAAGAAUCUGCAGGUCCCGACAAAUACAAAACUGUGGGCUGACAGGCCUAGUUGAGAAAGAUAGGGACGUGUAGAUCAAGUAGUUAGUUACUGUAGUGUACUCAUACGUACGGCAAUAGUAGUAGUAAUGAAUGAUUAGGGGAACUCGGUUAAUCACACUUAUAAUCGAUGUAGGCAAACAAACGUAUAAUCAAGGUAGUUAGAUUUGAAAUGAUAUAUAUAUACAUAGUUAAAAGGAGAAGUAAGUUAAGGGUUAAGAGUUAUGGCUAGGUACAUCUACACAUGUCCGGCGCAAAGUGGAUGUAGGGGGGUCCUAAGGCCCAUUCUCCAGCUGCCAAUCUACUAUGAGACCCCAGGGCGCACAACACUAGCACGUCUCCCACCAGGUCUACAAAACCUCCUCAGCUCCUGUUCGGAUCAGUGUUGCGUAGAAGUGGUUAAUGUAAGGGACCCAUUGGAUUACGGGGACGACGGGCGCAGGGAUUAUGGCCUUGUUAGAGUAAUCCUCCGACAGCUAGCGGGGGACGGCCAUGGGGUGCGGCAGAACCAGUUCCUCCACAGAUACCCGCUUAAUUAAGGUAGUGUAUGAGGCUUCACAGCCUCAGAGGGGGAAAUGUUGUGGAUAAAAAAUGUCAUAAAAUAAACAUAAGGGAGAAGAAGGAAAAACGGGCACCUUGACACAUAGAAGCGGGAUUAGGCGGAUUGGAAUUACGAGCAAUUUAAGAGCAGUAAUGGGAAAAAAGUCAAAAAGAAGUGUACGAGCUGAGGAGUGCUAAAAACACACACCCACACACACACUCGUACAGUCAAGACACAACAUACAUACACACACACUCUCUCUUCCUCAUACACACACAUGAAUAACUUUAAUAAUAUCUUAUAGUAAUAGAGAAACUCUAUAAAAAACAGAAUAGUAGGAUAUGCAGGACAGUAGAACUGUAAUGAUAUUAAGAAGUUGGAAGUACAGUAAACCGCUUUUCAAGUAGUAUAAAUAUAUAUAAAAUAAGAAAUAUAGUGCAAAUAUGAAAAUAAAUUAUAAAUGAGAAGUACGGGAAAAAAAGGAAAAUAUAACUUACUCAUGAUUCAGAUGGUGAAGAUUCUCGUCUCGCAAGGAAAGCCUUAAUUUUUAGAGAACCAUGAAGAAAGCCAGUUAUAAGGGUGGCUGCCCCCCCCCUCGAGAUAACGAUAAGACCAAGGUCCCUCCCGGUUGUUUAGUCGUCUUGCUUACGUCAUUUUUACUACCUAGGGAAAUGGGAAUCAUGGUUUCUGAAGACCUGGGUAAGGGAGAACCCUGGUUUUUGAAGACCUAGGUAAAAGAGAACCCUGGUUUUUGAAAACCUAGGUAAAUAGAAACACUGGGUUUUUGUUUCCUGGGUUGUUGGAAAUGCCUGGGUUCUGAUUUUAUGUGUAAAUUAAAACCCCUGGUUUCAAUUCUAUGGGUAAGUGAAAUAGGCCUUUUCUGGAAACCUAUGGGUUAUCUAGUGUGUAAAUACAGUAUAAAUACUGGAGCUUAGGCUCAGGGUAUGGGGGAUCACUUCUGAGAAUUCUCAUCGGUGUGGAUCUCGUGUGGUGGAAUGGAACAAUAAAGCUGGACCCUUGCUUCUUCUCA